rnacentral:tRNA from 1 species
GGUUGUGGCUCAGUGGCAGAGCACUUGCUUAGCAUGUAUGAGGCACUGGGUUCAAUUCUCAGCACCA